UUUUUGUUUCUAUUAGAAUGAUUUUAGUGGGGGUGCGGAGGGAGUGGAAUCAACGCCUGGGUUCAGUUGGCCACAUUCGGCAAGAACCACUUGCCACGCUUCUUUCCAUUCGUUUUAAAAUCCAUUCCGUGUGGCUGUAGGAGCCAUGGAAGGGUCUCAAAAGCAUCUUUCAGCAGAUGUCUGUCGGGCACCCACGAUGUACUGUGCUGCAUGCAAGCGCUACAAUAGAGGUGUGCACGGAUGUGGGAAGUGGGGCUGGGGGAGGCUUCCCCGAGGCUGGCACUGUGCCGGGCGGGGCAGAGGGCUUCAGAGCUGGGACCUCUGGGGUUGUGUCUGGCUCUGCCAUAUAUUGGCCAAGUGCCUUGGGUAUGUUACUUAAACUCAGAGUCUGAGUUUCCUCAUCUGUACAGGAAAUAACAACACUUCGCAGGGUCGUGGUGCAGACUUUGCAGGCUGUGAAGUUCUGUAAAAAAAAAAAAAAAAAAGUCGUUUAUAAUUCACGAGGUGAUUAUUCACAGAGGCAUGUCUUCCUCUUCAGAUCUCUGAGAAUCUUCUUUGCUCCCCUCCUGUCCACCUACCUCUGUUGUCCGUGAAUGUCUAGACUGGAGGGCAAGCAGUGGUCAUCGGCUGAGCAUAUGGGGACUCCCCUUCGGCCUCUCUAAAAGCCAUGCUGCAGUUAGGCCAAGUUUCCCGUGUCCCCCGACACCACCUUGGGUUGAAUAGGAUGUUUACUUUCUGCUCUGCAUCCUCUCCCACUUACUGGGGCUCUCUGGCUUGGUGAGAGAAGGUGCUCAGAAGACCAGGGAAGAGAAGCUGGAGAGCCAUACAGACGCUAGCUAGUGAAGUCACUAGAAAGAAAACCUCCUUUUACCGUCCACCCUCCAUGGCUUCUCAGGCCGAGUUUUGAGAAGCUCGCGAUGUUAGAGAGGUCCCAUCACAGGAUGGGUUCCUGGAUAUUUGUUUCCCCAACAGCUAGGGUGUCAGGAGUGGGGAACAGUGUUGCUCUAGGAUCAGCCUUCCUGCAUUCUGCUGCUGGCUGUGCUACUUACAAGCCAUGCUACCUUGGCUUUGUCACCUUUGGAAGCCCAACUUCCUAUUGUAAAGUGGGGUAGUAGCCCUAGGAUUGUUUGAUGGUUGAAACAUGAAGUGUUUGGCACAGUGCCCACGGUAUAAUCUCAACACAGUACAUGUUCAACGUUGGAAUUCCAACCCUUGGCCCUCUCUGUGGUGCUAGCAGCAAAAUAUUUGCCAGAAGAAGGGGAAACAUGUAGGGAAGAAACCCUUUCCCCAUUUUUUAUAUUGACCCAGGUAAGAUGGAAGGAUGUGGAAAUAUUUCUUUGGAGUCAGUUCUUGCCUGAGGCAAGGGAUGUCAGCUGUCAACAGCUCUUCCUCCCUUUGCUAUGUCUUCCAAUGGCCAUGGCCCUAGGACCCCAUCCCUCUGGUAGCCAUGACCCUCUGAGUCUGUCUGGCCAGGAGACCUGCGGAGCCCUGUUGGCCUUGUGGAUGCCCCAUGCCCUGGCUCUCAGGUGAUGUCCCAGUUCAAGCCUAACCUAGAGAAGCUUUCUCCAAGCUGCCCAGAAGCUCCAAAAUUAGAGUAACUCCCCCAGUUUCCUGUAAUUAACCCGGCACCUCUUCUUUCUUCCUCGCCACCUCUCCUGGCACCAUGUGUGGCUGAAGAGGUUCUCUGUGUCUUCGUGUUCAGGGAUUUCAUCUCAGCGUUUCUGGUCCAAGAUUGACCCACUCACCCCGUGAAUAGAUUUGGCCUUGUGCUGGGCAGUAGCUCUUGGCCUUGCUUCCAUGACAGCCCCCAAGAACAUAAGUAGACUUUCCCUUGGGGGUGGGAAUAAGUUAAUCCAUGCAAUUAUAGAAUAAUUAAAGUACUUUCAGCCAAUUCAAGAUUUGAGAAAAAUACAAAAAUAACUCCUUGAUUUCAGUAUUACUUACUAAGUUAAUUCUUUACUUAGCCUUUUUAUAGAUUCCUGUUUCUUCCCCCCUCCCUACGGUUAGAGAAUAAAGGCAUUGCAUAAUUAUUGAAAUCA